rnacentral:rRNA from 1 species
CUGGCGGCAGGCCUAACACAUGCAAGUCGAGCGCGCCUUCGGGUGAGCGGCGGACGGGUUAGUAACGCGUGGGAACGUGCCCUUCUCUACGGAAUAGCCUCUGGAAACGGAGAGUAAUACUGUAUACGCCCUUUGGGGGAAAGAUUUAUCGGAGAAGGAUCGGCCCGCGUUAGAUUAGGUAGUUGGUGGGGUAACGGCCUACCAAGCCUACGAUCUAUAGCUGGUUUUAGAGGAUGAUCAGCAACACUGGGACUGAGACACGGCCCAGACUCCUACGGGAGGCAGCAGUGGGGAAUCUUAGACAAUGGGGGCAACCCCGAUCUAGCCAUGCCGCGUGAGUGAUGAAGGCCUUAGGGUCGUAAAGCUCUUUCGCCUGUGAUGAUAAUGACAGUAGCAGGUAAAGAAACCCCGGCUAACUCCGUGCCAGCAGCCGCGGUAAUACGGAGGGGGUUAGCGUUGUUCGGAAUUACUGGGCGUAAAGCGCGCGUAGGCGGAUUAGAAAGUUGGGGGUGAAAUCCCGGGGCUCAACCCCGGAACUGCCUCCAAAACUGCUAGUCUAGAGUUCGAGAGAGGUGAGUGGAAUUCCGAGUGUAGAGGUGAAAUUCGUAGAUAUUCGGAGGAACACCAGUGGCGAAGGCGGCUCACUGGCUCGAUACUGACGCUGAGGUGCGAAAGUGUGGGGAGCAAACAGGAUUAGAUACCCUGGUAGUCCACACCGUAAACGAUGAAUGCCAGUCGUCGGAUAGUAUACUAUUCGGUGACACACCUAACGGAUUAAGCAUUCCGCCUGGGGAGUACGGUCGCAAGAUUAAAACUCAAAGGAAUUGACGGGGGCCCGCACAAGCGGUGGAGCAUGUGGUUUAAUUC